GACCUGGGUUUAUGACCAUAGCCUGCCAUGGGUCAGUCAACGGAUAACUUGGAAGCAAAUGGGGUGACUGCCAAGUAAUGACCUGUUGUUGCAAUUCCUCGCCUGCUUUUUUAGUGAGUCUUACCAAAAGUAAGUUCAAGUUCUGAGAGUUCUGAGGACUGAAAAUGGUCGGAAUCAGGAGUUUUGAGGCCGAAAUGAUUCGAUUUUGACAGUGGAUCUGUGAGUUAGAGCCCAAAGGGCAUCUGCGAAACUGAAUCUUGGUUCUGUUUGGUUCAGGGUAUGAGGAGAGAUUACCUCAAACGUGAGAUCGGGCGCCUCAAUCGCAGGUGGCAACCUCCAUUAAUGGAGGUCGACCAUAGAGAAGGGGGCAGGGGAGAGAGAGAGAGAAGAGCUUGGGCUCGUUUUGUUGUCGCCCGCGCACGAAAUGGAUCUACAAAGCUUCGGGGAUGACGGAGCGAAGGUAAUGGCCGAUGAAGAUGCCUUCUUGAAGCUUGAAAAACUGGAACCGGAAAUAGGGUUCUGGGCGGAGACUGCCGAUGAUGAUUCCGACGACUACCCACAGUCGCCGACGGGUUGUCGGAGGUCGUGGCGCGGCGUCGGAGGUCUUGGUGGAGAUGGGUGAGCGCCGGUGAACCGUGGCCCAGCGAGUCCUGUCCGAAGAAGACGAUGAACAGUGUCGCUUACACCGGUUGUCAAUGGCGGCAGUGAAAGGAAGAAGAAGGAAAAAAAAGAGAUGUCAGCUAAGCUGAUAUGUAAAAGAAAUGACGCAUAUCUCCGCUGGCGUAUAUGUGUCGCUCGCACACGUUUUUGAUCUCUGCUGGCGCGGGUCGCUCUGUUGCGCUUCUCUCUGGAAUUAUUGUUUGCUCAUGGGGACAAAGGGAGGAUGGCCAACUAGGCCAUGGGUAGGCUGAAGAUCAUUCAUCACCUACACAUUUGAGUGCAUUAGAUGGUCAAGAAGUAGUUUCUGUUAUUUUUUUAGCUGAUUACUCAACUGCAUAUUCUGAAAAGAAGUUCUUGCGAUGUCUGUAACUUCCAAGGUUGCUGGUCCUCUAUGUUCUUCAUCUUUCCCAGCAGAAAGUCCAGGAAGUAUAGGGGCAAAAACAGUGAGAACAGACAGGUCUAGGGGACAACCGUCAAGAUCCUAAACCCACAGAUACUCAGCAUGUGACAUGGGGGAAAGAAAUCCUUUACCUCUGUUCAAGCAUCUGCAUAAGAGGUAUAUUUUAAAUUCAAAUUAAACUGAAUAUUAAUGCCAGAUACGUGGAUUGACAAAAGGAAGUGUAUAGAACACCAGUUAAAGAGAUUUACCAACUUCAUUUAGCCAAACCAAGUUGAAGAAACUUCCAUUCAUGUCGAA